GGGUAACCUGCCCAAGAGAUCGGGAUAACACCUGGAAACAGAUGCUAAUACCGGAUAACAACAGAUGAUGCCUAUCAACUGUUUAAAAGAUGGUUCUGCUAUCACUCUUGGAUGGACCCGCGGUGCAUUAGCUAGUUGGUAGGGUAACGGCCUACCAAGGCGAUGAUGCAUAGCCGAGUUGAGAGACUGAUCGGCCACAUUGGGACUGAGACACGGCCCAAACUCCUACGGGAGGCAGCAGCG
rnacentral:rRNA from 1 species